rnacentral:rRNA from 1 species
UCAAGCGAACAAGUGCAUGUGGUGGAUGCCUUGGCGAUCACAGGCGAUGAAGGACGCGGUAGCCUGCGAAAAGCUUCGGGGAGCUGGCAAACAAGCUUUGAUCCGGAGAUGUCCGAAUGGGGAAACCCGGCCCGUAUGGGUCAUCCCACACUGAAUCCAUAGGUGUGGGAAGCGAACGCGGCGAACUGAAACAUCUAAGUAGCUGCAGGAACAGAAAUCAACCGAGAUUCCCAAAGUAGUGGCGAACGAAAUGGGAAGAGCCUUGCACUCUUUAGCAGGACUGUUAGCAAAACGGGAUGGAAAGCCCGGCCAUAGCAGGUGAUAGCCCUGUAUGCGAAAACAGACUUGUGGAACUAGGUGUGCGACAAGUAGGGCGGGACACGUGAAAUCCUGUCUGAAGAUGGGGGGACCAUCCUCCAAGGCUAAAUACUCGUGAUCGACCGAUAGUGAACCAGUACCGUGAGGGAAAGGCGAAAAGAACCCCGGGAGGGGAGUGAAAUAGAUCCUGAAACCGCAUGCAUACAAACAGUCGGAGCCUCGUAAGGGGUGACGGCGUACCUUUUGUAUAAUGGGUCAGCGACUUACAUUCAGUGGCAAGCUUAACCGAUUAGGGAAGGCGUAGCGAAAGCGAGUCCGAACAGGGCGUUGAGUCGCUGGGUGUAGACCCGAAACCAGAUGAUCUAUCCAUGGCCAGGUUGAAGGUGCGGUAACACGUACUGGAGGACCGAACCCACUAACGUUGAAAAGUUAGGGGAUGAGCUGUGGAUAGGGGUGAAAGGCUAAACAAAUCUGGAAAUAGCUGGUUCUCUCCGAAAACUAUUUAGGUAGUGCCUCGUGUCUCACCUUCGGGGGUAGAGCACUGUCAUGGUUGGGGGGUCUAUUGCUGAUUACCCCGCCAUAGCAAACUCCGAAUACCGAAGAGUGCAAUCACGGGAGACAGACAUCGGGUGCUAACGUCCGGUGUCAAGAGGGAAACAACCCAGACCGCCAGCUAAGGUCCCCAAAUAUAGCUAAGUGGGAAACGAAGUGGGAAGGCUAAAACAGUCAGGAGGUUGGCUUAGAAGCAGCCACCCUUUAAAGAAAGCGUAAUAGCUCACUGAUCGAGUCGUCCUGCGCGGAAGAUGUAACGGGGCUAAGCUAUAUACCGAAGCUGCGGACGCACGCAAGUGCGUGGUAGGAGAGCGUUCUGUAAGCCUGUGAAGGUGUCUUGUAAAGGAUGCUGGAGGUAUCAGAAGUGCGAAUGCUGACAUGAGUAGCGAUAAAGGGGGUGAAAGGCCCCCUCGCCGUAAGCCCAAGGUUUCCUACGCAACGUUCAUCGGCGUAGGGUGAGUCGGCCCCUAAGGCGAGGCAGAGAUGCGUAGCUGAUGGGAAGCAGGUUAAUAUUCCUGCACCGUCGUAUGAUGCGAUGGGGGGACGGAUCGCGGAAGGUUGUCCGGGUGUUGGAAGUCCCGGUCCCUGCAUUGGAGAAGGCGCUCAGGCAAAUCCGGGCGCGGGAUUCAAGAGUGUGGGGCGAGCGGCCUAGUGCUGCGAAGCAAUUGGAAGUGGUUCCAAGAAAAGCCUCUAAGCUUCAGUCAUACGAGACCGUACCGCAAACCGACACAGGUGGGCGAGAUGAGUAUUCUAAGGCGCUUGAGAGAACUCGGGAGAAGGAACUCGGCAAAUUGGUACCGUAACUUCGGGAUAAGGUACGCCCUGGUAGCUUGACUGGCCUGCGCCAGAAGGGUGAAGGGGUUGCAAUAAAAUGGUGGCUGCGACUGUUUAAUAAAAACACAGCACUCUGCAAACACGAAAGUGGACGUAUAGGGUGUGACGCCUGCCCGGUGCCGGAAGAUUAAAUGAUGGGGUGCAAGCUCUUGAUUGAAGUCCCGGUAAACGGCGGCCGUAACUAUAACGGUCCUAAGGUAGCGAAAUUCCUUGUCGGGUAAGUUCCGACCUGCACGAAUGGCGUAACGAUGGCCACACUGUCUCCUCCCGAGACUCAGCGAAGUUGAAGUGUUUGUGAUGAUGCAAUCUCCCCGCGGCUAGACGGAAAGACCCCAUGAACCUUUACUGUAGCUUUGCAUUGGACUUUGAACCGAUCUGUGUAGGAUAGGUGGGAGGCUUUGAAGCGUGGACGCUAGUCUACGUGGAGCCGUCCUUGAAAUACCACCCUGGUUUGUUUGAGGUUCUAACCUUGGCCCGUGAAUCCGGGUCGGGGACAGUGCAUGGUAGGCAGUUUGACUGGGGCGGUCUCCUCCCAAAGUGUAACGGAGGAGUUCGAAGGUACGCUUGGUACGGUCGGACAUCGUACCUAAAGUGCAAUGGCAAAAGCGUGCUUAACUGCGAGACCGACAAGUCGAGCAGGUGCGAAAGCAGGACAUAGUGAUCCGGUGGUUCUGAAUGGAAGGGCCAUCGCUCAACGGAUAAAAGGUACUCUGGGGAUAACAGGCUGAUACCGCCCAAGAGUUCAUAUCGACGGCGGUGUUUGGCACCUCGAUGUCGGCUCAUCUCAUCCUGGGGCUGUAGCCGGUCCCAAGGGUAUGGCUGUUCGCCAUUUAAAGAGGUACGUGAGCUGGGUUUAAAACGUCGUGAGACAGUUUGGUCCCUAUCUGCCGUGGGCGUUGGAAUCUUGACGGGGGCUGCUCCUAGUACGAGAGGACCGGAGUGGACGUACCGCUGGUGUACCUGUUGUCUCGCCAGAGGCAUCGCAGGGUAGCUAUGUACGGAAGAGAUAACCGCUGAAAGCAUCUAAGCGGGAAACUCGCCUGAAGAUGAGGAUUCCCUGGCGGCUUGACCGCCUUGAAGGGUCGUUCGAGACCAGGACGUUGAUAGGCUGGGUGUGGAAGCGCAGUAAUGCGUUAAGCUAACCAGUACUAAUUGCCCGUAAGGCUUGAUCCU